UACGUAGGGCGCAAGCGUUGUCCGGAAUUAUUGGGCGUAAAGAGCUCGUAGGCGGCUUGUCGCGUCGGACGUGAAAGCUCGGGGCUUAACCCUGAGUCUGCGUUCGAUACGGGCAGGCUAGAGGCAGGUAGGGGAGAACGGAAUUCCCGGUGUAGCGGUGAAAUGCGCAGAUAUCAGGAAGAACACCCGUGGCGAAGGCGGCUCUCUGGGACGGUACUGACGCUGAGACGCGAAAGCGUGGGGAGCGAACAGG
rnacentral:rRNA from 1 species